AAUAUCAGUAUUAAUGCAAGGCAAUUCAGCAGCACAUUCACCCAUCAAUGACUUGAAUACUUCAAUAAAUUCCUGCUCCACAGCCAAGGGAUCUGUCAGCUUCAAACCUGCAUCAGUGUAUAUAGAAGUAAUAUUAUUCUGACUGGUUCUGAUCUUCCACUGGGCAUGGAAAUAUUUUGUGUUUGCAUCUCCACAUUCUAUCCAACAAGCCUUUGAUUUAUGCCUCAUAAUUUGCUCCUCUACAUUGCUCCAUUU
rnacentral:lncRNA from 1 species